rnacentral:lncRNA from 1 species
CGGAAGUGCAAGUGUCUAAGAGUGCAAGUCUGAGAGUGCAAGUGCAAGUCUGCAGCCAGACCCUCUUGAUCACACUGACUGUAGAGUUUCAGUAAACCGCUUCAGUUCAGCAGCACUAUAUUCAGCUCUUCUAUCACUUUCCACGUUCAAAUGUUUUAUAACAACAUUUAUUUUGUGUCCGCAUUUUCAAGAUUAGGAGAACAGAAAUAUUUGACAUGUUUAUAUUAUUCAAAUUAAUGCUUCAUUUUGUCUAUUAUAGAUCGGGGCAUAUCCUUGUUUUACAUAUUGAUAAUGUCUGCUGCUGCUGCUGCUGGAACUCUGUUGAUUUUAGCUGCAGUUGGGAUCUUCUGCAUCUGCAGGGAAACAGACAGAGAGGUUCAGAGUGGUGAAGAAAUCACUUACGCUGAUCUGACAUUCUACAAAAGAAUAGCACAGAAAUCGGUAAGAAAUGUUUAUUUUGUGUAAGGUGUGUAUUAUUUCAGCAGUGUGUUUGUACAGCAGUCAGCUGUGUGUUUGUGUGUAUGAGUUCAAAUAUGUGAGCUUCUGGUUCUGUGAUCUAUCACACAACAGCACCACAUCUAAAUGUGUUUUUAAUAUUCCUCAUUAAUGGCCAGUAAUAUUCCUGAAUGUAAUAUUGAAUGACUAUAGACAUUGUUACAGGAAUAUAAUUUACAUUUUUUUUUUUCAUUUUUGUUGUUUAGUUUUCUUUUUUCAUGUCAGUUGUGUGUGUAUAUCACUUUCAUAAUACAAAUUUUUUAACUCUGAAAUAACGAUUUUCUGAAUACUGUUGUGUUAUUGUAAGACGAUUGCAGACCCAAGACUCCUUCUCAGUUAGAAAAUGAUCUCUAGUUAUCUGAAUAAAAGCUUUAGGAAGCUUUUAUUUUAAAAGCUUGUUUGCUGACAGAUUGUUGAGGGUUGUAAGACUCUCCUUUAUGUUUUAUUAGUUUACUAGAAUACGAAAGAAUCAUGAUAUUACUAUUAUAAGAAUAGUGAUAUCCCCAUUUCAUCACUCGUUAUUUUUAGACUACACAGAAGAAUGUGAUGAUAUUAAUAAAACAUUUUCUGUAAGCCAUGAUUGAUGUUCAGCUAAUACAAUUUGUGUGCUUUCUAUUAUAGGUAAAUGUAUUUUAUUGUGAAUUUUAUCAUGUUGGUUUGCUUUUCCCUUUUUUGCUUUCUCAGACUUUAUAUUGAUUCUGUGUUGUUCUUAGUGUGAACAGACAGGCUUUAAUAAAUGGGAGUAUUUUCCUUUAAAUAGACAAACUAUUAUUUGUUAGAAUAUUUAUUUUAAGUGGAUAGAUAUUCUAGUGCGACCUUCUUGGUGCGCAACGGUAAUGCUAUCCAUAUGAGCACAACUCAUUAACUCAGAGUUGCAUGUCAGUAGCCUAAUAUAUGACAAUUUCAUGAUAUGAAAUCUUUAUAAACACUUAGAAGCAACCUGUUAAAUAUUGAACUGAGAGGACACUCUGAACUUUAUAAAUGUAACCAGCCCUGAAACAGAGACACUGAUCAACAUAUUCAAUCUUACUAUCCAUGGUGAGUUAAAACACAUUGUUCACACUCUUACAAAUUGAAUUUCUCUACUAAAAAAGUCAAACAAAUCAUACUAACUAUUCUCUGUACAAACAUCUGCAUUUGUUGUUUUCUUCAGUCGACCUUUCAAACUUCAAGUGGAUGCCGGUGGAAACAGUGUGGGUGCUGUCCUAUUACAAGAAGAUGACCAAGGAGUCGACCAUCCCGUAUGUUACUACUCUAAAAAGAUUAAUCGUCAUCAAGUAAACUAUAGUACUAUUGAAAAUGAAGCCUUAUCUUUUUUACUGGCUCUACAACAUUUUGAAGUAUAUAUUGGUUCUAGUCCACAACCCAUUGCUGUAUACACUGACCAUAAUCCCCUCAUUUUUCUCUGAAGAUUAAUUAAAUUAAUUUGACGUAGCUGCAAUCGGGAUCCUUUGCAUCUGCAGGAAACACAGAAAAAUAGACCAAGAAGGCAAGUAUUGCCUGGUUUAACCUUCUAAAUGAGUGUGUAUAAUGUAAAAGAAUGCUCAAUAGUUUGUGUAUUUUGUUUCUGUUAUAUUUUGUUACAGUUCAGACCCAUGAUAGAGAGAUCACUUAUGCUGAUCCGACAUUUUACAAAAGACAUAAAUUGGUAAGAGAAUAUAUUUCUGUCUAUGAUGUUUCUGUAUUAUUUUAGCAGUGAAUCCAAUUUUAGGUGUGUGUUUAAUGAUUUACAAACACAAGCACCACAACAGACAUUUAUAAAAGCAGCAGAUGUAUUUUGGUGUCUUUUUGUCUUCUACUCUGAUACAUUUAUAUUGUAGGGUCACACAAAACCAUCAUUUAGAGGCAUUACAAUAUCGCCACAUCACAAACACUUAAAUGUCAUCCAAGACACAUCUAUUCCCUCCAAAAUGUGAAAUUACUAUAUUAGCAAAUUAGAGCAAAAGGGAAAUGUAUUUAACUAAUUACAGUCAAUUAUGAUUUAUUACAGUUAUUUAUAUCAGCUGCCAGUAGUAACUGUAGCAGAUUUCAUAUUAUCAUCAACUAAUCUGUUCAUCCACCGAACAUUCAGUGUGAGUUUAUACCAAUUCUAAGAAAGGACAUUUUCCUGUGAGGUCAUAUUGUCUAUUCU